GGGUCAGUAGGUUGGUCGUGCCACCGGUACGUACUGGUCUCACUGAUUCCUCCUUCCUGAAGAGCCGUAAUGCCAUUAAUUUGGUGUUGCGGGGAAACAGGACUGUUACUUUGAAAAAAUUAGAGUGUUUAAAGCAAGCUAACGCUUGAAUACAUUAGUAUGGAAUAAUGAAAUAGGACGAUCGAUCCUAUUUUGUUGGUUUCUAGGAUUGACGUA
rnacentral:rRNA from 1 species